GAUGAACGCUGGCGGCGUGCCUAAUACAUGCAAGUCGAGCGAACGGACGAGAAGCUUGCUUCUCUGAUGUUAGCGGCGGACGGGCGAGUAACACGUGGAUAACCUACCUAUAAGACUGGGAUAACUUCGGGAAACCGGAGCUAAUACCGGAUGAUAUUUUGAACCGCAUGGUUCAAAAGUGAAAGACGGUCUUGCUGUCACUUAUAGAUGGAUCCGCGCUGCAUUAGCUAGUUGGUAAGGUAACGGCUUACCAAGGCAACGAUGCAUAGCCGACCUGAGAGGGUGAUCGGCCACACGGGAACUGAGACACGGUCCAGACUCCUACGGGAGGCAGCAGUAGGGAAUCUUCCGCAAUGGGCGAAAGCCUGACGGAGCAACGCCGCGUGAGUGAUGAAGGUCUUCGGAUCGUAAAACUCUGUUAUUAGGGAAGAACAUAUGUGUAAGUAACUGUGCACAUCUUGACGGUACCUAAUCAGAAAGCCACGGCUAACUACGUG
rnacentral:rRNA from 1 species